AGCAGCCGCGGUAAUUCCAGCUCCAAUAGCGUAUAUUAAAGUUGUUGCAGUUAAAAAGCUCGUAGUUGAAUUUCGGGAUUGGCGCAUCGGUCGUGCCUCACGGGGUAUGAACUGGUGCAGUCAAUUUCUCACCUUCUGGAGAACCGCGAUGUCCUUAAUUGGAUGCCGCGGGGAACCAGGACCUUUACUUUGAAAAAAUUAGAGUGUUUAAAGCAGGCAUUUUUGCUUGAAUACAUUAGCUGGAAUAAUAAAAUAGGACGGCAUGGUUCUAUUUUGUUGGUUUCUAUGGACCACCGUAAUGAUUAAUAGGGAUAGUUGGGGGCAUUAGUGAUUCAAUUGUCAGAGGUGAAAUUCUUGGAUUUAUUGAAGACUAACUACUGCGAAAGCAUUUGCCAAGGAUGUUUUCAUUAAUCAAGAACGAAAGUUAGGGGAUCGAAGACGAUCAGAUACCGUCGUAGUCUUAACCAUAAACUAUGCCGACUAGGAAUCAGACGAUGUUAAUUUUUUCAAUGACUCGUUU
rnacentral:rRNA from 1 species